rnacentral:tRNA from 1 species
GGAAGGUUGUCCGAGCUGGCAGAAGGAGCACGCCUGGAAAGUGUGUAGGCGUCACAAGCGUCUCAAGGGUUCGAAUCCCUUACCUUCCG